GGGGAACUUGAUGAGGCGGGUGACGAUCCGUUGCAUUAACCGACAAUGGCGAUUGGGAGAUUUUAAAGGUGUCUGCCAGGGUUAAAAGGCCAAACAAUGGCGGAUGGUGGAGUUUAAAAGCAGAGGAUGUGGUUUACCAAGGAUUUGGAGCUUCAAAGGAUGAAGUUGUUAAUGGAGUCGCAGGUGUAGCAGGACAAAUUGAAGCGUUUCAAAGACUAAUUCAGAAUCUGGUAUAGUUUGUUACAGUUAUUUCACCAUUAUGAGAAUGACUUCUGAAAUUGAUGAACCCUAGGUGAGCCCUGAAUCCCUAAACCCAUCUCUUGAAACUGAUGCAAUUUGUGUACAAGCUUAUGCAUAUUUCCAACAAUUUAGGCCCUAAUUUCCUAUCACCAACGUUUUCUCAACUCUAUUUCUGUUAAGAUUUGCAUAUAAGUUAUUCUGGAAUUGUGCUAGAUUCAUAUAUGAGGAACCCUAAUUUAGUAUACACUACAUUAGUGAUAUUUUAGUUUUUUUUCUUGGAUGUUGAAGUAAAUCCAGGUGUUAAGCUGAGUGACGCUUCAAAUAAGUUCGAAAAGAAAUUUGCAACUUGAGCAUCUGUUGUGAAGGUAUACUUCAGGGUGGCAGGACCAGGGUGCCGGUUAUAUUCAAUUUGGAUGUGUUAUGAUACUGUGUGGCUUAUGUACGGCGGAUCUAUGAUUUGUUUGCUUUAAAUGCUUUUUCUAUAUUGAUUUGAACCAGUAUCUUUUUUCAUGUAAAAUGUUCGAGCAAGACGAUGGAGUGAAAUCACUUUUGGUGGCCAGUGCACCAAAUAUACUUCAGCAAACUUGGAGGCUGGUGCUUUGGCUUUGAAAACAGAUCUCAUAGAACGGACUCAACAGAGAAAACAAUUGGUUAGAAAAAACAACCAGGUUACGAUUUGGACCUGUUUCGGGUGGCUGUUCUUUUUCUGUUUGGUUGAGUGUUGGGCUAUAGUUUAUAAAUCAGAUUCAUGGCUAUAAGUUUUUGUUGACAACAUUGGUCUAAUGUCCAAAACGCAUUCAAACGAUGACUCCUCAACUUAUGUUUCAGGAUUUUAAUACUUAUAUACCCUUUAUUACUAGCCUUGAACCCUUUACAAAGCUAACCCCUGUCCAUGUGUGGCAUUUAUUUAUAGUUAUUGAUGAUGUGUAAAUCAGUAAGCAUGUUAAUGGGUCUGCUGGGUUAAGUCGGUUAACGAUUUAAAGCGGAUAAUUUUUCAUGGGUUAGAAUGCGUUUGGUUAAUCUAGCAAGGAAAGAUUAAAAUAAAUAGAAAUAACAAUUACUUUCGAAAAAAAGGAUGAAGGGCUGCAAUGAAUUGGCUUUCCAUCAGAGUUUAAAGGUUUAGCUUUGAGUUUUGUUUAACCAACACAAGUUCUACAAGUUAGAACUGGAAUCUAGCUUGCAAAAUUGCUACUGUUCACUAAAAUUGCAUUUUACUGAAUUGGCUUAAUAUUGCAUCCAAUUUGGUAGUUCACUGCUAUUGAUUGAAUUCUUAUGUUUAUCAUGAGUUUAUUGAGUUAGAACUUCAUAUCAUGGGUUUGAGGGGAAUAUUCAUCAGGUAUGUUACUAUAUUUUAAAGGAAAUAAUGUCUUUCACUUUGUAAACAUGUUUUGGAUUCAAUUGAGAUGAUCAAUGUCUAUAGUUGGAUGGCCAUCAUAAUUAUUAUCUCAUAGUUGGUUUAUUGUUUGUGAUUUCAGGUUGUGGACAUGCAGGUAAAGCAAAAAGACAACUAUAUUAUCUAAAUCAUCAUCAUAGCAGAGGAUUUGGGGACCAAAAAGAGAGAGACUUGGGUCUGCACGGUAAUUCAUUCUUCAUCAACAACUUGGUACAAGUUUCUAAUAAUCUUUUAUAAUAGAAAGUUUAUGAUUUUGAAAAACAAAAUGAAUAAAAACUGAAAUCUGUUUUUAUCUUUUGUGGUACAGGAACAAUUAGUAAAUGAGUCAAAAUUAUUAUUUCAAAGAAUGGGUCAAAAUUAUCAAUUUAAGUAAAGGGCAAAGCUCUUUUUUUAGUAAAUGGGUCACCCUUAACAAAAGAAAAUCACUAAACAUCUGUAAGUUUUGAUUAAAACUAACAAUUUUCAAAUUUUGAUUCAAGGUAACCUGAUCAAAAGUUUCCUGGAUGUAUGCAUAAAGCUAUGAACCUGAACCAAAAAGGGCUACUUUUGUCCUUUUUUUUUAAUUAUUUUUUGUUCUGAUAUUGUCGGUUUUGCAAGGUGUUUACGUGAAUAUUAUUACCUUGAGUAUGAUAUGAGUUAGCAGCACAUAUGCGACGAUUUUCUUCAGCACAAGAUCGGCCAUUUUGUGGAACUUGCAUGUUGAAAUGUUUGGUGUAAAGAAGUAUCCUUCAAAGAUGUAUUAUCAUUGUACCAAAAAUGUGCUUUACUAUUAAUACCAUGCACCAUUGAUAGGAUAGCAAUACUAUUUUGAUUUCUUGUUGUGUAAGUUUCAUUUGGUGGCUUUUAUUUAGAGUUAUCUGUAGAUGUAAGGGACCGUUUGAACCUUGCAUUGCUUUUUGGAAAUUGUUUG
rnacentral:lncRNA from 1 species